rnacentral:rRNA from 1 species
AGUUGUAGAAUCACUGGUGAAUAAGGGGUGGGCAAGUUCUGGUGUCAGCCGCCGCGGUAAAACCAGCACCUCGAGUGGUCAGGAGGUUUAUUGGGCCUAAAGCAUCCGUAGCCGGUUGCAUAAGUUUUCGGUUAAAUCUAUGCGCUUAACGUAUAGGCCGCCGAAAAUACUGUGCAGCUAGGGAGUGGGAGAGGUACACGGUACUCGAUAGGAAGGGGUAAAAUCCUUUGAUCUAUUGAUGACCACCUGUGGCGAAGGCGGUGUACCAGAACACGUUCGACGAUGAGGGAUGAAAGCUGGGGGAGCAAACCGGAUUAGAUACCCGGGUAGUCCCAGCUGUAAACGAUGCAGACUCGGUGAUGCAUUGGCUUGUGGCCAAUGCAGUGCCGCAGGGAAGCCGUUAAGUCUGCCGCCUGGGAAGUACGUACGCAAGUAUGAAACUUAAAGGAAUUGGCGGGGGAGCACCACAAGGGGUGAAGCCUGCGGUUCAAUUGGAGUCAACGCCAGAAAUCUUACCUGGGGAGACAGCAGAAUGAAGGUCAAGCUGAAGACUUUACCAGACACGCUGAGAGGUGGUGCAUGGCCGUCGCCAGCUCGUGCCGUGAGAUGUCCUGUUAAGUCAGGUAACGAGCGAGACCCCUGCGUCUAGUUGCUACCAUUACUCUCUGGAGCAGUGGAGCGAAUUAGACGGACCGCCACAGUUAAUGUGGAGGAAGGAAGGGGCCACGGCAGGUCAGUAUGCCCCGAAACCCUAGGGCUACACGCGGGCUGCAAUGGUAUUGACAAUGUGUUCCGAAUCCGAAAGGAGGAGGCAAUCAUCAAACAUAUCUCAGUUAUGACUGAGGGC